rnacentral:rRNA from 1 species
AUGUCAGCUCUCAGCAGCAGCUGCUCUGCUCUGCUCUGCUGCAUAUACACCGCUCCCUCUCCGUUCCCCCGAACUCUUCGCUCCCGUUCCGCGCUGUCCGUCUCACACAGGAUGGCGUCCGCCAUGGAGCUCUCCCUCCUCAACCCCGCAAUGCACCACCACGGCAUCGCGGCCAAGACGGCCUCCCACCUCCCUGUUCUCCCCGCGCGCCGGGGCGCCGUCCGCUUCCGCGUGAGGGCCGCCGCCGCGGCGCCGCCUGCACCCGCCGCGAAGCCCGGCUCGCCCAAGAAGCGGGGCAAGACGGAGGUCAACGAGUCGCUGCUCACGCCGCGCUUCUACACCACGGACUUCGACGAGAUGGAGCAGCUGUUCAACGCCGAGAUUAACAAGCAGCUCAACCAGGACGAGUUCGACGCGCUGCUGCAGGAGUUCAAGACGGACUACAACCAGACCCACUUCAUCCGCAACCCCGAGUUCAAGGAGGCCGCCGACAAGAUGCAGGGCCCGCUCCGCCAGAUCUUCGUCGAGUUCCUCGAGCGCUCCUGCACCGCCGAGUUCUCCGGGUUCCUCCUCUACAAGGAGCUCGGCCGCAGGCUCAAGAAAACCAACCCGGUGGUGGCUGAGAUCUUCUCGCUCAUGUCCAGGGACGAGGCCAGGCACGCUGGGUUCUUGAACAAGGGGCUGUCCGAUUUCAACCUGGCUCUGGACCUCGGCUUCUUGACCAAGGCUAGGAAGUACACCUUCUUCAAGCCAAAGUUCAUCUUCUACGCCACGUACCUGUCCGAGAAGAUCGGCUACUGGAGGUACAUCACCAUCUUCAGGCACCUCAAGGCCAACCCGGAGUACCAGGUGUACCCCAUCUUCAAGUACUUCGAGAACUGGUGCCAGGACGAGAACCGGCACGGCGAUUUCUUCUCCGCGCUGCUCAAGGCGCAGCCGCAGUUCCUCAAUGACUGGAAGGCCAAGCUCUGGUCACGCUUCUUCUGCCUCUCGGUGUAUAUAACCAUGUACCUGAAUGACUGCCAACGUAGUGCCUUCUACGAAGGAAUUGGUCUCAACACCAAAGAAUUCGACAUGCAUGUCAUCUAUGAGACCAACCGCACGACGGCGAGGAUCUUCCCUGCUGUACCGGAUGUUGAGAACCCUGAAUUCAAGAGGAAGCUAGACAGGAUGGUAGAUAUCAACCUGAAGAUCAUUUCUAUAGGAGAGUCCAACGACAUGCCCCUGGUGAAGAACCUGAAGAGGGUUCCUCUUAUUGCCCAACUAGUGUCUGAGAUCAUCGCUGCGUACCUCAUGCCCCCAAUCGAGUCUGGCUCUGUUGAUUUUGCCGAGUUUGAGCCCAAGCUUGUCUACUGA